rnacentral:rRNA from 1 species
GACGAACGCUGGCGGCGUGCUUAACACAUGCAAGUCGAACGGAAGGGCCCUGCUUUUGUGGGGUGCUCGAGUGGCGAACGGGUGUGUAACACGUGAGUAACCUGCCCUUGACUUUGGGAUAACUUCAGGAAACUGGGGCUAAUACCGGAUAGGAGCUCCUGCUGCAUGGUGGGGGUUGGAAAGUUUCGGCGGUUGGGGAUGGACUCGCGGCUUAUCAGCUUGUUGGUGGGGUAGUGGCUUACCAAGGCUUUGACGGGUAGCCGGCCUGAGAGGGUGACCGGCCACAUUGGGACUGAGAUACGGCCCAGACUCCUACGGGAGGCAGCAGUGGGGAAUAUUGCACAAUGGGCGGAAGCCUGAUGCAGCAACGCCGCGUGCGGGAUGACGGCCUUCGGGUUGUAAACCGCUUUCGCCUGUGACGAAGCGUGAGUGACGGUAAUGGGUAAAGAAGCACCGGCUAACUACGUG